GACGAACGCUGGCGGCGUGCCUAAUACAUGCAAGUAGAACGCAGUUUCGAACGGGUGAGUAACGCGUAGGUAACUGCCCCAUAGAGGGGGAGAACUAUUGGAAACGAUAGCUAAUACCGCACAAUGUAAGCUGGACCUGCGUUGUAUUAGCUAGUUGGGGAGGUAAAGGCGACCCAAGGCGACGAUCCAUAGCCGGCCUGAGAGGGUGAUCGGCCACAAUGGGACUGAUACACGGCCCAGACUCCUACGGGAGGCAGCAGUGGGGAAUCUUCGGCAAUGGACGGAAGUCUGACCGAGCAACGCCGCGUGAGUGAUGAAGGUUUUCGGGUCGUAAAGCUCUGUUGUUAGGGAAGCGGUACCUAACCAGAAAGGCACGGCUAACUACGUGCCAGCAGCCGCGGUAAUAC
rnacentral:rRNA from 1 species